GGGGGAGGAUAGGGUCCGGUGGCCCUACCGGUCUUCAAAACCGGCUUGUCCAUGCAUGUGGAUAGGUGGGUUCGACUCCCACCCUCUCCCGCCA
rnacentral:tRNA from 1 species